GGAAGUAAAAGUCGUAACAAGGUUUCCGUAGGUGAACCUGCGGAAGGAUCAUUAUUGAAUACUCUUGAUGAGUUGUAGCUGGCUCUCCGGGGCAUGUGCACGCUUGUCUUGAUUUUAUUCAUCCACCUGUGCACCUUUUGUAGUCUUGGGGGUUGAAAGCAGUCGACUAUCGGAUGGCUAUGGCUUUUCCGGAUGUGAGAAAUGCUGAGUGCAUAGACGCAUACAGCUCUUCUCAAAUGACUUGCAUACCCUUGAGUACUAUGUAUUCAUAUACCACGUCGUAUGUUGUAGAAUGUGAUCAAUGGGUCUAUGUACCUAUAAUAAUCAUAUACAACUUUCAGCAACGGAUCUCUUGGCUCUCGCAUCGAUGAAGAACGCAGCGAAAUGCGAUAAGUAAUGUGAAUUGCAGAAUUCAGUGAAUCAUCGAAUCUUUGAACGCACCUUGCGCUCCUUGGUAUUCCGAGGAGCAUGCCUGUUUGAGUGUCAUUAAAUUCUCAACCCCUCCAGUUGUGAUGGGGCUUGGAUAUGGGAGUUUGCGGGUCCUUUAUCAGUAAAGGUCAGCUCUCCUGAAAUACAUUAGCGGAACCGUUUGCAGUCCCGUCACUAGUGUGAUAAUUAUCUACACUGUGAUGAUUGCUCUCUGACUAGUUCAGCUGCUAAUCGUCCGUUACGGACAAUGUUUAAUGAACUUCUUGACCUCAAAUCAGGUAGGACUACCCGCUGAACUUAAGCAUAUCAAUAAGCGGAGGA
rnacentral:rRNA from 1 species